AUGCUUCCGGCCCAACAGCUAGCCCGUCACCCUGUGCCCUGUCGCUCGUGCUGUCCUCUUCCAAUCGAGCCGAGCUAUCGAUCCAGACAAACGCCGCCGUCGCCGCCGCGCCGCCUGCCCGCCCCCACGACUGGCCCGGCCCCGCGGAUUCUGCCCAAGCCCCAGCUCAGCCAAAUCUCUCCUGUAGUUUACUGUUGCUGCGCCCUACAGAUAUCACUAACACUUGCUCCUCUGUGGCAGUUCUCCAUUCGAUUGCAAGUCUGCCUGUGCAAGGUUCGCAUUCCUACAUCUUUGGAAAUGCAUCCUCAUCUAACCCUACACAGGCAUCCUAUGUGUGCUGAGAUUAUCGAAGAAUUCCAGAAGUGCCAUGUGGAUCACCCCAUCAAAAAAUUCUUUGGUGAAUGCACAGAUCUUAAGAUUAAGCUUGAUCGGUGCUUCCGGCAGGAGAAAGCUGUGAAGAGAAAGGCAAACUUUGAAGAGAGCAAGAAAUUUAAAGAAAGGUUGCAGGCUUAUAAAAAGGAAAUGGCUGAGAAAGAAAAUGAAUCAUAA
rnacentral:rRNA from 1 species